rnacentral:rRNA from 1 species
UACGGAGGGUGCGAGCGUUGUCCGGAAUUAUUGGGCGUAAAGAGCUCGUAGGCGGCUUGUCGCGUCGGAUGUGAAAGCCCGGGGCUUAACUCCGGGUCUGCAUUCGAUACGGGCAGGCUAGAGUUCGGUAGGGGAGAUCGGAAUUCCUGGUGUGAGCGGUGGAAAUGCGCAGAUAUCAGGAGGAACACCGGUGGCGAAGGCGGGACUCUGGGCCGAUACUGACGCUGAGGAGCGAAAGCGUGGGGAGCAAACAGA